rnacentral:rRNA from 1 species
GCAUUAAUCCUCCCAGGGGAACCUGGCCCUUAAUUCGAUGAUCCACGAAUUUCUUACCUUCUCUAGUUUUCAGAUAGCUCGCAAAGAGUGUUUGAUUAUCAGUUUACAUACCGCCGUUUCUUAGCUUGUAUCGUGAGAGGACAUAAACAGGCGUCUCAGUGACUUUUAAAGUUGUACUAAUAAUUCAGGUAAACGUGUAGCCUACGAGAAGGGGGUGCUGGGUUACAAUUGAGGUUUGUAAUGGCGUAAUUACCUUAAGGGUAAGAGGAAAGAGUACUUGGAAGUAAUGACUUUGGGCAAUGAAGCCGUGAAUAGUGCUCUAGUGUGUGU